GACGAACGCUGGCGGCGUGCUUAACACAUGCAAGUCGAACGGAAAGGCCCUGCUUUUGUGGGGUGCUCGAGUGGCGAACGGGUGAGUAACACGUGAGUAACCUGCCCUUGACUUUGGGAUAACUUCAGGAAACUGGGGCUAAUACCGGAUAGGAGCUCCUGCUGCAUGGUGGGGGUUGGAAAGUUUCGGCGGUUGGGGAUGGACUCGCGGCUUAUCAGCUUGUUGGUGGGGUAGUGGCUUACCAAGGCUUUGACGUGUAGCCGGCCUGAGAGGGUGACCGGCCACAUUGGGACUGAGAUACGGCCCAGACUCCUACGGGAGGCAGCAGUGGGGAAUAUUGCACAAUGGGCGGAAGCCUGAUGCAGCAACGCCGCGUGCGGGAUGACGGCCUUCGGGUUGUAAACCGCUUUCGCCUGUGACGAAGCGUGAGUGACGGUAAUGGGUAAAGAAGCACCGGCUAACUACGUA
rnacentral:rRNA from 1 species